GGGGGUAUAGCUCAAGUGGUAGAGCGAUGCUUAGCAUGCACAAGGACCUGGGUUCAAUCCCCAGUACCUACU
rnacentral:tRNA from 1 species